rnacentral:rRNA from 1 species
UGGGGAAUUUUGGACAAUGGGGGCAACCCUGAUCCAGCAAUGCCGCGUGUGUGAAGAAGGCCUUCGGGUUGUAAAGCACUUUUGUCCGGAAAGAAAACGUCGUGGUUAAUACCCGUGGCGGCUGACGGUACCGGAAGAAUAAGCACCGGCUAACUACGUGCCAGCAGCCGCGGUAAUACGUAGGGUGCAAGCGUUAAUCGGAAUUACUGGGCGUAAAGCGUGCGCAGGCGGUCCGCUAAGACAGAUGUGAAAUCCCCGGGCUUAACCUGGGAACUGCAUUUGUGACUGGCGGGCUAGAGUAUGGCAGAGGGGGGUANAAUUCCGCGUGUAGCAGUGAAAUGCGUAGAGAUGUGGAGGAAUACCGAUGGCGAAGGCAGCCCCCUGGGCCAAUACUGAGCUCAUGCACGAAAGCGUGGGGAGCAAACAGGAUUAGAUACCCUGGUAGUCCACGCCCUAAACGAUGUCAACUAGUUGUCGGGUCUUCAUUGACUUGGUAACGUAGCUAACGCGUGAAGUUGACCGCCUGGGGAGUACGGUCGCAAGAUU